UGGUCGCAGGUUCGAAUCCUGCACGACCCACCAAUCGCUAAGGUAGAACGCGAUUGCAAAACGUGAAGGAUAACGUUGCGUAAGCAACGGCCCGUAGGGCGAGGCAAAGCCGAGUCAUCCUGCACGACCCACCA
rnacentral:sRNA from 1 species